ensembl:rRNA 5S_rRNA 5S ribosomal RNA
UAUGGCAGCCAUAUCACCCUGUAGCCCAAGACUGGUCGCCCACUGAAGCGAAGCAGGGUUGAGCCUGGUCAGUACCUGGACGGGAGACCUUCUGGCAAAACUAGGCUGCUGCUGGAA